rnacentral:lncRNA from 1 species
AUGGCUGCAGCUCCCCGGGUGGGAUUUCGGCACAAAACAGCACAAAUCUGCCCGGAACGAGGACAAGGAGCAGGGCCACCAGGACGGCCACCAAAAGCGACGCAUGGGCUGCGGCACCGCGGAGGGCUCCACCAAAACGUGGGUGCCGUGCCCCGCAGCACCACGAGGCUCCACGUUUGGCCCCACGGCGAUGCUCUCCAUCCAAAAGGAGCUGCCCAUCAUGGCAUUGAAGAAUGCAACGUGUUUCAUCUCGACGUGCCCACCAGGAGGACGAAUUUCCAAAUUUCCAGGCAGGCUGAAUUUCUUCUCCCCGGGUCCCCCCCCCACCCCGGGGCAGAAACGCUCGCCGUGUUUGCGCCGAGCCCUAACGAGGGCAGCACUUCAACACCCACACGUGCAAAAAAAAAAAAAACGCCGAGCGGCGCCCAGGCUCACCUUCAUUUCUCCCCGAAAUUUCUCCCUCAGCGCCCUCCCUGCCGGAGGGGGGCUUGGAUGCGACCCGAAAAAAUCCAGCCCGUCGCCAAAACGCGCCGGAGCGGGUGCCUGUGCCGGGCACCGAGCGCCUUUCCCACCCCUCCUGUCAUCUUGAUACUUUCCUGCGCUUCUCCUACGCUCAGCUCGAGUAGCAAAAAAAGGGGCCCGAAAGCAGACGGCCGUGGUUUCGUGCUUAUUCAUCAUCACAUGUAUCCUGCGAGCUGCGGUAUGCGCGAGGCAGCUGGAGGGGGCCGCCGCUCUUCCUGGAAGAGGCGCUGGGGGCUUCACCCAAAGCUCGCCCCAGGGCUCUGCCGCGGGUACAAGGGGGGCUGGGAACCUUCCCCGGGGGCUCGGCAGUGGCAUCACCCCAUGGUGGGCUUGUGGGGUGCUGUAGGAGCAGUGGGGUGCUGUGGGGGUGAUGAUGGGGGGCAGGUAGGAGUGAUGGGGGGCAGGCGGAGCCCUGCAGAAAUUGGCCUCGUGGGGGAUUUUGCCCGUUCCUGGCCUGUUUUACACCAGUCCUCUACCCCGUAG